GGAUAUAUAUUUGGCAGUGGAAUUGCAGGGUCACAUGGUAAUUCAAUAUUUAACUUUUUGAGGAACUGCCCAAUUGUUUCCCAGCGUGGCUGCACCAUUUUACAUUUCCCCCAGCAGUGUAUGAGGGUUCCAAUUUCUCCACGUCGUCUCCAACACUUACUGUUUGACUUUUUGAUUCU